rnacentral:rRNA from 1 species
AUGGAUCCAAACCCACAUGUGUUGUGUUGGAACGUGAGGGGCCUUAACAACCCUGCCAAGAAGCAUGCGGUUAGGGAGUUUGUUGUGGCAGCUAAGGUUAGCCUUGUGUGUCUCCAAGAGACGAAGCUCGAUGUAUUUGAUCCUUUCAUCGUUAUGCAAUGCAUUAGCCCAUCCUUCGAUGGGUUUGACUAUGUUCCGGCGGAGGAGACUCGUGGGGGCAUCCUAAUUGCAUGGGAUAGCACGAUGAUAUCCGUGAACAACAUUGUGCGCGACACCAACUCUAUCACAGGGCUCGUUCAUGAUAAGGGAGGAUCGACUUGGUGGGUUACGGUGGUGUACGGGCCG